UACAUGCAAGUCGAACGGCAGCGCGGGAGCAAUCCUGGUGGCGAGUGGCGAACGGGUGAGUAAUACAUCGGAACGUGCCCAAUCGUGGGGGAUAACGCAGCGAAAGCUGUGCUAAUACCGCAUAAGAUCUAUGGAUGAAAGCAGGGGACCGCAAGGCCUUGCGCGAAUGGAGCGGCCGAUGGCAGAUUAGGUAGUUGGUGAGGUAAAGGCUCACCAAGCCAUCGAUCUGUAGCUGGUCUGAGAGGACGACCAGCCACACUGGGACUGAGACACGGCCCAGACUCCUACGGGAGGCAGCAGUGGGGAAUUUUGGACAAUGGGCGCAAGCCUGAUCCAGCCAUGCCGCGUGCAGGAUGAAGGCCUUCGGGUUGUAAACUGCUUUUGUACGGAACGAAAAGGUCUUUUUUAAUAAAGAGGGCCCAUGACGGUACCGUAAGAAUAAGCACCGGCUAACUACGUGCCAGCAGCCGCGGUAAUACGUAGGGUGCGAGCGUUAAUCGGAAUUACUGGGCGUAAAGCGUGCGCAGGCGGUUAUGUAAGACAGUUGUGAAAUCCCCGGGCUCAACCUGGGAACUGCAUCUGUGACUGCAUAGCUAGAGUACGGUAGAGGGGGAUGGAAUUCCGCGUGUAGCAGUGAAAUGCGUAGAUAUGCGGAGGAACACCGAUGGCGAAGGCAAUCCCCUGGACCUGUACUGACGCUCAUGCACGAAAGCGUGGGGAGCAAACAGGAUUAGAUACCCUGGUAGUCCACGCCCUAAACGAUGUCAACUGGUUGUUGGGUCUUCACUGACUCAGUAACGAAGCUAACGCGUGAAGUUGACCGCCUGGGGAGUACGGCCGCAAGGUUGAAACUCAAAGGAAAUUGACGGGGACCCGCACAAGCGGUGGAUGAUGUGGUUUAAUUUCGAUGCAACGCGAAAAACCUUUACCCCCACCUUUGACAUGUACGGGAAUUGCCCAGAGAUGGGCUUAGUGCUCGAAAGAGAACCGUAACACAGGUGCUGCAUGGCUGUCGUCAGCUCGUGUCGUGAGAUGUUGGGUUAAGUCCCGCAACGAGCGCAACCCUUGUCAUUAGUUGCUACAUUCAGUUGGGCACUCUAAUGAGACUGCCGGUGACAAACCGGAGGAAGGUGGGGAUGACGUCAAGUCCUCAUGGCCCUUAUAGGUGGGGCUACACACGUCAUACAAUGGCUGGUACAAAGGGUUGCCAACCCGCGAGGGGGAGCUAAUCCCAUAAAACCAGUCGUAGUCCGGAUCGCAGUCUGCAACUCGACUGCGUGAAGUCGGAAUCGCUAGUAAUCGUGGAUCAGAAUGUCACGGUGAAUACGUUCCCGGGUCUUGUACACACCGCCCGUCACACCAUGGGAGCGGGUUCUGCCAGAAGUAGUUAGCCUAACCGCAAGGAGGGCGAUUACCACGGCAGGGUUCGUGACUGGGGUGAAGUCGUAACAAGUAG
rnacentral:rRNA from 1 species